GCUCAGGAUGAACGCUGGCGGCGUGCUUAACACAUGCAAGUCGAACGGGAAAUAUUUCAUUGAGACUUCGGUGGAUCUGAUCUAUUUCUAGUGGCGGACGGGUGAGUAACGCGUGGGUAACCUGCCUUAUACAGGGGGAUAACAGUCAGAAAUGGCUGCUAAUACCGCAUAAGCGCACAGAGCUGCAUGGCUCAGUGUGAAAAACUCCGGUGGUAUAAGAUGGACCCGCGUUGGAUUAGCUAGUUGGUGGGGUAACGGCCCACCAAGGCGACGAUCCAUAGCCGGCCUGAGAGGGUGAACGGCCACAUUGGGACUGAGACACGGCCCAGACUCCUACGGGAGGCAGCAGUA
rnacentral:rRNA from 1 species